AGCGAACGCUGGCGGCAGGCCUAACACAUGCAAGUCGAACGGCAGCACCGUAGUAGGUGGCGCUUACGGGUGUCGAGUGGCGGACGGGUCAGGUAUAUAUCGGAAUCUACUGUUUCGUGUGUGAUAACGUAGGGAAACCUACUCUGAUACCGCAUAUCACCUACUUGGGAAAGCACGGGAUCUUUUCACCUUUCGGGGAGGAAUGCGCCGAGGUGGGAGUAGAUAGUUGGCGGGCUAGAGGCCAACCAAGGCGACGAUCGGUAGCUGGUCUGAGAGAAAGGUCCGCCACCCUGGAAGUGAGACACGGUCCAGACUCCUACGGGAGGCAGCAGUGGGGAAUAUUAGGCAAUGGGGGCGAGCCUGAUCCAGCGAUACCGAGUGGGUGCAGACGGCGUUCGGGUUGGAAAGCCAUUUUGUUGGUAAAAAAAAGAAGCAGUUUAACCCGCCGCUGUACUGACGGUACCCAGAGAAUAAGCACCGGCUAACUUCGUG
rnacentral:rRNA from 1 species